GCAGCUUCUUCCCUUCAAGCAUGCCCUUCAGCAAAGCCACAAUUUCCUAAAAAAAAUAUGUAGAUCACGCUGAGUGGCUGAGUCUAUUAAAAAUAGAAGUAGACAAGGACAAACCAUUGUGAAAUACUUUGCCAAGAAAACAGUAGGGAAUCCAGACAGUUGCCAAGAAUCAAUAAUGAUUUGAAGAUCAAUGCUUAUUGGCUGUAUUAUUGGAACAGAAUGACAUACAAAAAUGAUGCUUGUGGUGAAAUAAACUAUAUGAGUAAUGCCAAGACAUACAUUUCUUCACUUUAGAUGAUGAACACAGGAAUUCUUUCUACACUAUACUGUACUUGUGGACAUUUUUGACAAU